rnacentral:rRNA from 1 species
GACGAACGCUGGCGGCGUGCCUAAUACAUGCAAGUCGAACGCAGUGGGGACGGGUGAGUAAAACGUGGGUAACCUCCCAUCAGAGGGGAUAACACUUGGAAACAGGUGCUAAACCGAUACUGAUGGAUGAACUCGCGGUGGAUUAGCUAGUUGGUGAGGUAACGGCUCACCAAGGCCACGAUGCAUAGCCGACCCUGGAGGAUGAUCGGCCAUACUGGGACGGAGACACGGCCCAGACUCCUACGGUAGGAAGCAGUAGGGAAUCUGCGGCAAGGGGCGAAAGUCUGACCGAGCAACGCCGCGUGAGUGAAGAAGGUUUUCGGAUCGUAAAACUCUUUUGUUAGGGAGGCGGUAUCUAACCAGAAAGCCACGGCUAACUACGUGCCAGCAGCCGCGGUAAUAC